CUGACAUGGUGCUGGAAUGUCUUUCCAUUGCACAACAGCAUGGUGAGCUGCUCUGGGAUAGAGGUGAAGCAAUUUUCUCUGUAGCUCUCCAGGAGCUGCAUAAACCACAUUUAUUUUUCCCACCACAUAAGGAUUUAUGGGAAAUGAUGUGGUCCUCUCUGCCUGUCAAGGGUACAACAGCACCUUCAGCAUUUUUUUGGCACAGCUCUUUAAAAUCCAACUGUUUACUGACUUGUCAUCUCUGUCUUACAGUAAAAAAAGGCAAGAAAGCACAGCAGACCCUAAAAUUCAGGUACCUGCUGCCAUUCUCCAGCUGUAUGGAAGCUGCCUGCACUGUGAGACAACCACAUGAACACCUUGGUGGGGGUACCCAGCUGACAGACACUGCGAGUGAGAAGGCAGACUGGUGAGUGUCAUCUUACCAAAAACCUGCAGGAGCAAGCCAAAACAUGCAAUUUGCUAAGUA
rnacentral:lncRNA from 1 species